rnacentral:rRNA from 1 species
GGGGAAUAACUGUAUCAAUAAAACUAAAAAGAAAUUUCUUAAUAGGUGAAAAUUCCUUUAAUUAAUAUAAUAGACGAGAAGACCCUAAGAAUUAUAUAUUAAAAUUGUAAAUUUAUAAUAAAUUUUUGUUGGGGCAACAGAUUUGGUGAAAUCAAUAAUCUUUAAAAUUUACAUACUAAGUAUAUUUAAUGAGAAUUUAAUUACCUUAGGGAUAACAGCAUUAUUAAUAUAUUAGAUUGUGACCUCGAUGUUGGACUAGGGACUUUAAAAGUUAGCCAUUUUAAAAGAUUGUUCUGUUCGAACAUAGGAC